rnacentral:rRNA from 1 species
UACGUAGGGUGCGAGCGUUGUCCGGAAUUAUUGGGCGUAAAGGGCUCGUAGGCGGUUUGUCGCGUCGGGAGUGAAAACCUUGGGCUUAACUCAGGGCUUGCUUUCGAUACGGGCAGACUAGAGGUAUGCAGGGGAGAACGGAAUUCCUGGUGUAGCGGUGAAAUGCGCAGAUAUCAGGAGGAACACCGGUGGCGAAGGCGGUUCUCUGGGCCACACCUGACGCUGAGACGCGAAAGCUAGGGGAGCGAACAGG